AUGAACGCUGGCGGCGUGCCUCAUACAUGCAAGUCGCGCGAACAGACGAGGAGCUUGCUCCUCUGACGUUAGCGGCGGACGGGUGAGUAACACGUGGAUAACCUACCUAUAAGACUGGGAUAACUUCGGGAAACCGGAGCUAAUACCGGAUAAUAUAUUGAACCGCAUGGUUCAAUAGUGAAAGACGGUUUUGCUGUCACUUAUAGAUGGAUCCGCGCCGCAUUAGCUAGUUGGUAAGGUAACGGCUUACCAAGGCAACGAUGCGUAGCCGACCUGAGAGGGUGAUCGGCCACACUGGAACUGAGACACGGUCCAGACUCCUACGGGAGGCAGCAGUAGGGAAUCUUCCGCAAUGGGCGAAAGCUUGACGGAGCAACGCCGCGUGAGUGAUGAAGGUCUUCGGAUCGUAAAACUCUGUUAUUAGGGAAGAACAAAUGUGUAAGUAACUAUGCACGUCUUGACGGUACCUAAUCAGAAAGUCACGGCUAACUACGUG
rnacentral:rRNA from 1 species